UGUGCAAGAAGGAUGGGGAGACGAUCGAUCAUUUGUUCAUUCAUUGUGAUGGUGUACGUUAGAUUUGGAACCGUAUACUUAGUUCUCAAUCUAUGGAUUGGGUGAUGCCUCGUCGUAUAGAGGACGUGAUACGGGCAUGGCGGAGAAAACUUCGUGAUAAGGAUAGCAAACUAGCAUGACACCUUAUCCCGGGAUGCAUUGUAUGGUGCGUGUAGAGAGAAAGG
rnacentral:lncRNA from 1 species